UAUUAUUUUAAAGUGAUGUACACGUGUCU
rnacentral:piRNA from 1 species